AAUGAACGCUGGCGGCGCGCCUAAUACAUGCAAGUCGAGCGAGAAGACGUAGCAAUACGUUUGUAAAGCGGCGAACGGGUGAGGAAUACAUGGGUAACCUACCCUAGAGUGGGGAAUAACUAGCCGAAAGGUUAGCUAAUACCGCGUACGCUCCUUGGACUUCGGUUCAGGGAGGAAAGCGAUGCCGAGGGUAUCGCGCUCUUGGAUGGGCUCAUGUCCUAUCAGCUUGUGGUGAGGUAACGGCUCACCAAGGCUUCGACGGGUAGCUGGUCUGAGAGGACGAUCAGCCACACUGGCACUGCGACACGGGCCAGACUCCUACGGGAGGCAGCAGUAAGGAAUAUUGCGCAAUGGGCGAAAGCCUGACGCAGCGACGCCGC
rnacentral:rRNA from 1 species